rnacentral:tRNA from 1 species
UCCCAGAUAGCUCAAUUGGUAAAGAAUCUGUCUGCAAUGCAGGAGGCCCUGGUUCGAUUCCUGGGUCGGGAA